rnacentral:misc_RNA from 1 species
UCCGGUUUGUCACCGGCAGUCCCAUUAGAGUGCCCAACUCAAUGUAGCAACUAAUGGCAAGGGUUGCGCUCGUUGCGGGACUUAACCCAACAUCUCACGACACGAGCUGACGACAGCCAUGCAGCACCUGUGUUACGGCUCCCUUUCGGGCACACCCCCAUCUCUGAGGGCUUCCGUACAUGUCAAGGGUAGGUAAGGUGGGGAUGACGUGCCGGCAUUAGCCA